rnacentral:rRNA from 1 species
AAUGAACGCUGGCGGCAGGCCUAAAACACGCAAGUCGAACGCUCUAGCAAUAGAGAGUGGCGCACGGGUGAGUAACACGUGGGAAUAUGCCUUUUGGUACGGAACAACGUCUGGAAACGGACGCUAAUACCGUAUGGUCCCUCCGGGGUAAAGAUUUAUCGCCAAAAGAUUAGCCCGCGUCUGAUUAGCUAGUUGGUGAGGUAAUGGCUCACCAAGGCGACGAUCAGUAGCAGGUCUGAGAGGACGAUCAGCCACACUGGGACUGAGACACGGCCCAGACUCCUACGGGAGGCAGCAGUUAGGAAUAUUGGACAAUGGGCGCAAGCCUGAUCCAGCCAUGCCGCGUGAGUGAUGAAGGCCUUCGGGUUGUAAAGCUCUUUAGUCCACGAAUAUAAUGACUGUAGUGGAAGAAUAAGCCCCGGCUAACUUCGUGCCAGCCGCCGCCGUAAUAC